rnacentral:rRNA from 1 species
CCCCCCACACUGGGACUGAGACACGGCCCAGACUCCUACGGGAGGCAGCAGUGAGGAAUAUUGGUCAAUGGGCGGAAGCCUGAACCAGCCAAGUCGCGUGAGGGAUUAAGGCCCUGCGGGUCGUAAACCUCUUUUGCCGGGGAGCAGUGGUCCGGACGCGUCCGGGCCGGGAGAGUACCCGGAGAAAAAGCAUCGGCUAACUCCGUGCCAGCAGCCGCGGUAAUACGGAGGAUGCGAGCGUUAUCCGGAUUUAUUGGGUUUAAAGGGUGCGUAGGCGGGCAUUUAAGCCGGCGGUCAAAUGUCGGGGCUCAACCCCGGCCUGCCGUCGGAACUGGGUGCCUUGAGUGGGCGAGAAGUAUGCGGAAUGCGUGGUGUAGCGGUGAAAUGCAUAGAUAUCACGCAGAACCCCGAUUGCGAAGGCAGCAUACCGGCGCCCGACUGACGCUGAGGCACGAAAGUGCGGGUAUCGAACAGGAUUAGAUACCCUGGUAGUCCGCACAGUAAACGAUGGAUGCUAUCUGUCCGGGCCGAAUGAGGCCUGG